rnacentral:rRNA from 1 species
GCCAACGAUCAUACCACGUUGAAUACACCGGUUCGCGUUAGAUCACUGAAGUUAAGCAACGUCGGGCGUGGUCAGUACUUGGAUGGGUGACCACUUGGGAACAUCACGUAUCGUUGGCUCUU